rnacentral:rRNA from 1 species
UGGGCAACCUGCCCCUCUCUCUGGGAUAACCCCGGGGAAACCGGAACUAAUACCGGAUACUCCGGCUGGAUCGCAUGGUCCGGCCGGGAAAGGUCCGCCGGAGAGGGAUGGGCCCGCGGCCUAUCAGCUUGUUGGUGGGGUCAUGGCUCACCAAGGCGACGACGGGUAGCUGGUCUGAGAGGACGACCAGCCACACUGGAACUGAGAUACGGUCCAGACUCCGUACGGGAGGCA